rfam:Aedes aegypti strain Liverpool supercont1.117 genomic scaffold, whole genome shotgun sequence.
UGCCAAGGGUUACUCUUAUCCCUACCUCCUCGUGGUACUGGCCGGGGUACGAGCAACCUUGGGGAAGAUCGGGUAACCAACCCCGGUGGGAGCUUUGGUCGUAUGAUGACAGGGAAGG